AACGGCCGCGGUAUUUUGACCGUGCUAAGGUAGCGCAAUCACUUGCCCUUUAAAUAGGGGCCCGUAUGAACGGCAUAACGAGGGCUUAACUGUCUCCUUUCUCUUAUCAAUGAAAUUGAUCUUCCCGUGCAGAAGCGGGAAUGUUAACAUAAGACGAGAAGACCCUGUGGAGCUUAAGUCGCAAGAACAGAACAUGUAAACUUUUUAUUGAUCAGACUUAUUGUAACCUGUUCAAGUGUCUUUGGUUGGGGCGACCGCGGAGAAAACAAAACCUCCAUGAGGAAUAAAGGCACUCCUUUCGAUCUAAGGGUGACAACCCUAUGAACUAGAAUAUCUAUCCACCUUGAUCCGGCAAAGCCGAUCCACGAACCAAGUUACCCCAGGGAUAACAGCGCAAUCCUCUUUUAGAGUCCAUAUCGACAAGAGGGUUUACGACCUCGAUGUUGGAUCAGGACAUCCUAAU
rnacentral:rRNA from 1 species